rnacentral:rRNA from 1 species
GACGAAGGGGGCUAGCGUUGUUCGGAAUUACUGGGCGUAAAGCGCGUGUAGGCGGAGGGUUAAGUGCGGUCUGAAAGCCCCCGGCUCAACCGGGGAGGGCGGCUGCAAACUGGCCUUCUGGAGGGCGCUAGGGGAGAGUGGAAUUCCUGGUGUAGCGGUGGAAUGCGCAGAUAUCAGGAGGAACACCAACGGCGAAGGCAGCUCGCUAGGACGGUACUGACGCUGAGGCGCGAAAGCGUGGGGAGCGAACAGG